rnacentral:rRNA from 1 species
GAUGAACGCUGGCGGCGUGCCUAAUACAUGCAAGUCGAGCGAAUGGAUUGAGAGCUUGCUCUUAUGAAGUUAGCGGCGGACGGGUGAGUAACACGUGGGUAACCUGCCCAUAAGACUGGGAUAACUCCGGGAAACCGGGGCUAAUACCGGAUAACAUUUUGAGCCGCAUGGUUCGAAAUUGAAAGGCGGCUUAGGCUGCUACCUAUGGAUGGACACGCGGCGCAUUAGCUAGUUGGUGAGGUAACGGCGCACCAAGGCAACGAUGCGUAGCCGACCUGAGAGGGUGAUCGGCCACACUGGGACUGAGACACGGCCCAGACUCCUACGGGAGGCAGCAGUAGGGAAUCUUCCGCAAUGGACGAAAGUCUGACGGAGCAACGCCGCGUGAGUGAUGAAGGCUUUCGGGUCGUAAAACUCUGUUGUUAGGGAAGAACAAGUGCUAGUUGAAUAAGCUGGCACCUUGACGGUACCUAACCAGAAAGCCACGGCUAACUACGUGCCAGCAGCCGCCGCCG